rnacentral:rRNA from 1 species
CUUCGGUCUGGCGGCGAGUGGCGGACGGGUGAGUAGUGUAUCGGAACGUACCCAGUAGCGGGGGAUAACUACUCGAAAGAGUAGCUAAUACCGCAUACGCCCUACGGGGGAAAGGGGGGGAUCUUAUGACCUCUCACUAUUGGAGCGGCCGAUAUCGGAUUAGCUAGUUGGUGGGGUAAAGGCCUACCAAGGCGUCGAUCCGUAGCUGGUUUGAGAGGACGACCAGCCACACUGGGACUGAGACACGGCCCAGACUCCUACGGGAGGCAGCAGUGGGGAAUUUUGGACAAUGGGGGCAACCCUGAUCCAGCCAUCCCGCGUGUGCGAUGAAGGCCUUCGGGUUGUAAAGCACUUUUGGCAGGAAAGAAAUUGCAUGGGUUAAUACCCUGUGUAGAUGACGGUACCUGCAGAAUAAGCACCGGCUAACUACGUGCCAGCAGCCGCGGUAAUACGUAGGGUGCAAGCGUUAAUCGGAAUUACUGGGCGUAAAGCGUGCGCAGGCGGUUCGGAAAGAAAGAUGUGAAAUCCCAGGGCUUAACCUUGGAACUGCAUUUUUAACUGUCGAACUAGAGUGCGUCAGAGGGGGGUGGAAUUCCGCGUGUAGCAGUGAAAUGCGUAGAUAUGCGGAGGAACACCGAUGGCGAAGGCAGCCCCCUGGGAUGACACUGACGCUCAUGCACGAAAGCGUGGGGAGCAAACA